UCAAAUCCAACAUGGCGUCGCGAUGGAUACAUACACAACCGAUCGCAUGCGUCACUUGAAAGCACCCUUUACGCUCCGUACCGAAAUUCCCAUGCCGGCAAUGUCCUUUUGCACCGCAUAUUAACCCCACUCAUAGGUACUUACCUGUAUUUAAAGCGAGUUAUAACAGCCCGUUAGCUUGUCGGCACUUGCAACUCUGGUUGACGACGCGUCGAAAAAAGCAUAGCCGAAUACAUACACAAAUAGUGACAGACAAACACACUGCGAUUAAUCCAACAUGGCGUUCGAUAGGCAGCGCGCCAAGGGAUUGUGGAAUGGAACGCAGGGCUGUUUAGGUAGAGAAAAACCACACGCUGAUAUUUUGAGGUCAUGAAAAACGUGUUCUCUACAUUUAUACAGCGCAAAUACAAGCAAAGAUAACGCGUACUGUAUUGAGGAUCAACAAUGGACCUCGUUUUUGCACACACACGUGAUGGCACUUUAAGUUUCUAUGCCAAUGCACGCCGGCUUCUUUCGCGCUCUUUUUGCACCCCUGGAAAAUAUUGCCCGCCCAAACAGGCUGGUCCAAGACUUCAGCUGUAUUUUAGGUUAUAAGAAAGCAUGCCCUAAUCCCAUUAAAUAAAUGUCACGUGUUCUUUGUUUA